rnacentral:sRNA from 1 species
GCUGGGUGUGGUGGCGCAUGCCUGUAAUCCCAGGGGCUUGGGAGGCUGCGGCAGCAGGAUUGUGAGUUCAAAGACAGCCUCAGCAAAAGCAACACAUUAAGCAACUCAGUGAGACCCUGUCUCUA